rnacentral:rRNA from 1 species
CACGUAGGGUGCGAGCGUUGUCCGGAAUUAUUGGGCGUAAAGAGCUCGUAGGCGGUGUGUCGCGUCGGCCGUGAAAACCUGCAGCUUAACUGUGGGCGUGCGGUCGAUACGGGCAUCACUGGAGUUCGGCAGGGGAGACUGGAAUUCCUGGUGUAGCGGUGAAAUGCGCAGAUAUCAGGAGGAACACCGGUGGCGAAGGCGGCAUCCUGGACCAUAACUGACGCUGAGGCGCGAAAGCUAGGGGAGCAAACGGG